GCCGGGCACGGUGGCGCAUGCCUGUAAUCCCAGUGGCUCAGGAGGCUGAGGCAGGAGGAUCGCUAGUUCAAAGCCAGCCUCGGCAAAAGUGGGGUGCUCAGCAACCCAGUGAGACCCUGUCUCUA
rnacentral:sRNA from 1 species